rnacentral:rRNA from 1 species
AACGAACGCUGGCGGCAUGCCUAACACAUGCAAGUCGAACGAGACCUUCGGGUCUAGUGGCGCACGGGGGCGUAACGCGUGGGAAUCUACCCUUGGGUUCGGAAUAACAGUUAGAAAUGACUGCUAAGACCGGAUGAUGACGUAAGUCCAAAGAUUUAUCGCCCAAGGAUGAGCCCGCGUAAGAUUAGCUUGUUGGUGGGGUAAUGGCCUACCAAGGCGACGAUCUUUAGCUUGUCUGAGAGGCUGAUCAGCCACACUGGGACUGAGAGACGGGCCCAGACGACAUCGGGAGGCAGCAUUGGGGAAUAUUGGCCAAUGGACGAAGGCUUGAUCCAGCAUUGCCGCGUGAGUGAUGAAGGCCUUAGGGUUGUAAAGCUCUUUUACCAGGGAUGAUAAUGACAGUACCUAGAGAAUAAGCUCCGGCUCACUCCGUGCCAGCCGCCGCGGUAA